GGCUCCGGGGCCGCCGCCGCCGCCGGAGACAAAGUUCUGUAGUGCACUGACUGCUAUCGUACCCAGAGUCGGAGUGUCACAGAACUUUGCUUCCGGAGGCUCCAGUCCUCCGCCGGUACC
rnacentral:pre_miRNA from 12 species